UUGAUCAUGGCUCAGAUUGAACGCUGGCGGGAUGCUUUACACAUGCAAGUCGAACGGCAGCACGGACUUCGGUCUGGUGGGCGAGUGGCGAACGGGUGAGUAAUGUAUCGGAACGUGCCUAGUAGCGGGGGAUAACUACGCGAAAGCGUAGCUAAUACCGCAUAAGCCGCUCUUCGGGGGAAAGCGGGGGGACCUUCGGGCCUCGCACUAUUAGAGCGGCCGAUAUCGGAUUAGCUAGUUGUGGUAACGGCUCACCAAGGCGACGAUCCGUAGCUGGUUUGAGAGGACGACCAGCCACACUGGGACUGAGACACGGCCCAGACUCCUACGGGAGGCAGCAGGGGAAUUUUGGACAAUGGGGGAAACCCCGAUCCAGCCAUCCCGCGUGUGCGAUGAAGGCCUUCGGGUUGUAAAGACCUUUGGCAGGAAAGAAACGGCACGGGAUAAUACCCUGCAGUGACGGUACCUGCAGAAUAAGCACCGGCUAACUACGCCAGCAGCCGCGGUAAUACGUAGGGUGCAAGCGUUAAUCGGAAUUACUGGGCGUAAAGCGUGUGCAGGCGGUUCGGAAAGAAAGAUGAAAUCCCAGAGCCUUAACUUUGGAACUGCAUUUUUAACUACCGAGCUAGAGUGUGUCGAGGGAGGUGGAAUUUUAUGUGUAGUAGUGAAAUGCGUAGAUAUGCGGAGGAACACCGAUGGCGAAGGCAGCCUCCUGGGAUAACACUGACGCUCAUGCACGAAAGCGUGUAUAAACAGGAUUAGAUACCCUGGUAGUCCACGCCCUAAACGAUGUCAACUAGCUGUUGGGGCCUCGGGCCUUGCAGCGCAGCUAACGCGUGAAGCUGGCCGCCCGGGUGAGUACGGUCGCAAGAUUAAAACUCAAAGAAUUGACGGGGACUGCGACAAGCGGUGGAUGAUGUGGAUUAAUUCGAUGCAACGCGAAAACCUUACCUACCCUUGACAUGCGUUCUUUGGAAUCCCGAAGAGAUUUCCGGGAGUGCUCGCAAGAGAACCGGAACAUGAGGUGCCAUAUGGUUGUCAGGCUCGUGUCGUGAGAUGUUGGGUUAAGUCCCGCAACGAGCGCAAACCUGUCAUUAGUUGCUACGAAAGGGCACCUUAAUGAGACUGCCGGUGACAACCGGAGGAAGGUGGGGAUGACGCCGGAGUCCUUAUGGCCUUAUGGGUAGGGGCUUGUACACGUCAUACAAUGGUCGGGACAGAGGGUCGCCAACUCCGCGAGGGGGAGCCAAUCCCAGAAACCCGAUCGUAGGUCCGGAUCGCAGUCUGCAACUCGACUGCGUGAAGUCGGAAUCGCUAGUACUCGUGGAUCAGCAUGUCGCGGUGAAUACGUUCCCGGCCUCAGGUACACUGCCCGUCACACCAUGGGAGUGGGUUUUACCAGGACAGUUAGCCCAACCUGCAAGGAGGGCGAUUACCACGGUAGGAUUCAUGACUGGGUGAAGUCGUAAUGCUGCAG
rnacentral:rRNA from 1 species